UGACGAACUUGUCACACACCUCUUCGUCAGGAUGCCUGAAGAAGCCAUUAGCACGAGGACACCCUUUUGUCGCCUUUGGCUCUUCUGAAAAUAUUGGGAGGAAUAAAUAGCGAACGCGUCAAAUAAUUUAUUUAUUGAUGUCGAUGCAUUUCAGGGCCAAUGUUGCCUCUUCAGAUCUCAGAAUGCCCAUCAAGUCUGCAGUGCUGCUAAAACCUGAUAAUUGUUUUCUCAACUGCUAUAAUAUUUUUGGAUUGCUUGAGUGAUUACUGUUAUUUCUCCAUUCAACCCAGAGUGCAUAAGAAACCUUAAUCAUAGCCCUUUUUCAAAGAGAAUUAUUAUAGUAGUUGAAUCUUACAUCUGAAAGAGCAAACCAGUGAGAAUAGAUGACCAGGAUGAUAUUAAAUGAACAAAAUACUAGAAACGCAUACUUUAGAGGCCAUCAUACAUUGGAAACCUAUAUAUAUUUUAGUCUACUGUAACAAGUAAAAUUUCACAUGUCAGAUAAAACCAACGGGUGAAUUUUUUUAAUAUGAGUACGUUUUUGUACAUGUUUGGAUUUAGACUCACGCAAUUCUGUC